CUUAGAGGGAUGCAAGCAGGAAAGAAGGAAAGCACAUCUGUUAGCUGAUACAUAAUACUUAGUGCUAACAGUAUAUGUCUCUUGAGUUUGAUGAAGACAGGUACAGUAAUAUAAAAUGUAUUCACACUUAGAUCACAGCUGCUCAAGAGCAAUAUGAGGCAUCUUUACAUGCAAGACAGUUGUACGCUGAAACCUGAGCAUGGGAACAACUUACCGUGUACUGCCUGUACAAUUAACAGUUUCAUCACAGAUGUUGAAGAAAGCUCCCAAUGACAUCUUUUGCACUGCCGAUCUCUACUGGCUGGGCUCUACUGUACUGUAUGCUGUGAAACAGGACUGCAACACAAGUCUUUAUAGAUGCUGCUAUAUCACUAAGGGGUUCAGCUUGAAAACCUGGGGUUUGAUCUGCAGAAAUGCUGAACAAGUUAGUGGCAAAGUUUGAAUGUAUUCAAUGUCAGCAUGAGUUUUUGAGUUAAGACACUCAUUCUGUCUAGAUAUUCAAAUGCAGAUAGAGAAAAGACUUAAAGACAAAGUUCACUUAGAAAAAGUGUGAUGUUUACAUUAGCAUCGGCUGCUCAGAACUGCUAAUGUUAAGUGCUCCAAAAGCACGACUUUUGUAACUGUCCUUCAUGCUGCAAUGCAAGUCAGAAACUUAUCUUUACCUUAUGCAGCAGAAACUGUUUGAGAUGGGAUCAACUCUUUUCUGAAGACACAUAAUCGUGAUGGCUACUAUAGAAAGCCUAACAUCAAUAGAAACUGGAGCACAGAUUUAAAAGGAAUUUUUGGUCUGCA